CGCCCCUGGCGAGGCUGUGGAUGCUAACCGUGUGAUCACUGCUGAUCGGCACUUUGUGUUGUGAUGAUGGUGUGAGCCCGGGACCCGAGACAGUAGUAGCCAAGCGAU
rnacentral:rRNA from 1 species